rnacentral:pre_miRNA from 1 species
AGCUUUCUGUAUCCGUGCUGAGAUUUCGUCAUACAUCAGACCACGAGGGCUAAUGAGAAUCACAAAAUAAUUGAGGCG